AUUGAACGCUGGCGGCAUGCUUUACACAUGCAAGUCGAACGGUAACAGGCCUUCGGGUGCUGACGAGAGGCGAACGGGUGAGUAAUGCAUCGUAACGUACCCAGAGGGGGGGGUUAACGCAGCGAAAGCUGUGCUAAUACCGCGCUGGACCUGAGGAUGAAAGCGGGGGACCGCGCAGCAAUGUUUGCCCUCGCGCCUUUGCGGCGGCCGAUGUCGGAUUAGCUAGUUGGUGGGGGAAAGGCCUACCAAGGGGACGAUCCGUAGCUGGUCUGAGAGGACGACCAGCCACACUGGGACAGAGACACGGGGCAGAGUCCUCCGGGGGGCCGCAGUGGGGAACUUUGGACAGAGGGCGCGAGCCUGCUCCAGCCAUGCCGCGCGCGGUAAGCAGCCGUUAGGCUUGUGAGCCCAGUUUGGCAGGAGCGAAACGAUGCACGCUAAUACCCAGCGUCAAUGACGGUACCUGCAGAACAAGCACCCGCUAACCACGUG
rnacentral:rRNA from 1 species